UACAGAGGUCUCAAGCGUUGUUCGGAUUCAUUGGGCGUAAAGGGUGCGUAGGCGGCGCGGUAAGUCGGGUGUGAAAUCUUGGAGCUUAACUCCGAAACUGCAUUCGAUACUGUCGUGCUUGAGGACUGGAGAGGAGACUGGAAUUUACGGUGUAGCGGUGAAAUGCGUAGAUAUCGUAAGGAAGACCAGUGGCGAAGGCGGGUCUCUGGACAGCUCCUGACGCUGAAGCACGAAGGCCAGGGGAGCAAACGGG
rnacentral:rRNA from 1 species